GACGAACCGUGCGAACGUUGUCCGGAAUUAUUGGGCGUAAAGAGCUCGUAGGCGGUUUGUCGCGUCUGCUGUGAAAACCCGAGGCUCAACCUCGGGCCUGCAGUGGGUACGGGCAGACUAGAGUGCGGUAGGGGAGAUUGGAAUUCCUGGUGUAGCGGUGGAAUGCGCAGAUAUCAGGAGGAACACCAAUGGCGAAGGCAGAUCUCUGGGCCGUAACUGACGCUGAGGAGCGAAAGCAUGGGGAGCGAACAGG
rnacentral:rRNA from 1 species